rnacentral:lncRNA from 1 species
AAUAUUCAUGCGCACUACUUUAAAAAAUAUGCAUUAUCUUAUCACAAUCAUAUCUCCAAGACUUCAAUAACUUCUAUAUACCUACAUAUUGGGCUGGUACGGUACGGGUUUGUAUUGCGGAUCGGUUCGCACCUAAAAGUCCGAAUUAACCACUAUUGUCGGAAAAAUUAGCUAAAACGUCGAGCUCUUUCUAUAUUACACCUUUAAAAUUUGUUGGUAUGGGUUUCUUGUAACAUCUGGAAAAUAUAUCAUUACCUGCGCUUUACUGAUGAUGCCCUUCACCUUAAAAACCAUCGGCAGAUUAGGGUCGGUGGCCACUACCCAAUCAGCUUCUGACGUCAAAACUUGUAGUUUUAUUUGUAAUUUUACUUCACACAUUCUUACCAAAGGACUCAUCCUAUUACACUCGUAGAAUAGAUGUACUGACGUUUCUAGUUUCUCGCUACAGAAUGUACGUACAACAAUACAAGUUAAUAAAAAAGAAAUUUACAUUUAAUAAUGUUUAAUGACCCAUUUGUGAUCAAUUUGUAAUUGCAUCAAUGAAUUUUGAGCCAAAAAUGGUCAAACUGCUCAAAUUAAGGAUUCAAAACUCAUUUAUCAAAUAUGAUACGUAUGUUGAAUAAAACUCUUUCUAGUCAAUAUAUUUCUGUAUUUUAUACAUAAACAA